rnacentral:lncRNA from 1 species
GCAUGGAAAAGCAGGUCAAUGGCAUCACGAAGUCGUGCUUCUUCCAAAUUAGGAACAUUGGUAGAAUUCGGCAAUAUAUCACUGAGGAUGCCUGUAAAACUUUAGUCUGCUCGCUUGUCACGUCACGUCUAGACUACGGAAACGCUCUGCUUUAUGGAGUAAUUACCAGCUUAGUCAAUAAGUUACAGCGAGUCCAGAAUACGGCAGCCA